CAGGAAGGAUGGGGAAGGGGAGACAUAGGGAGGUGAGAUAUCAGAUACCAGAAUGGAGUUAGACGGGAGGAGUGAGUUGUAAUGUCCUGCAGCCCAGCAGGGUCAUCUGCCUGAAACAGAGGAAGGGAGCCCUCACUUGCAGACUCUCUCCUGACACCCUGGAGAGGAGAGCCUGUCUCCACAAGGUUCAGCACCUACAGGACAGGUGCUCACCCAUGGGACAUGCUGGCAGCCCCCAUGAACAAGGUCACUGCCUGGCCAUAAGCAGGCACCUUCACCCACCUGCCAACCCCAGACUGGCUCAGCAGAUCACAGGGCUCCACCCUGGAACACCUCCAGGGAGCAGGCUUUCUCAGCAAAGUCUGGGCCCCCAUUUCAGAAGGAUAUGGUAAUCUUUGGGACCAUCCAGAGGUUAUGAAAAUCCACUUUGGGUAAUAUAAACUCUUUAAGAAAAAAAAAAUUGGGAGUCUGAAGGAUUCCUAUUAUCCUCCAAAUUUCAAUAUAAGCUCCGUUUUUCCAUAGAGUUGUUCACUUUUAGGAUAGUCUGAGGUCACAGGGAGGAAGCCUGAUGGUUCCUAUCCAGUCAACUGUAAUGUCCACAUAUUGGUUGUGGUCCUUGUGAGAAGCAGCUACAGCAACCCCGACUCCACAAGUUUGGAAGGAAAUCACUCUCCAGUUAACAUCAACCUCAAAGGCUAGGAAUGGCCCCCAAAGACCCCACUUUCCUUUAAUAAACUUCAUGUUUGGAGAUCA